rnacentral:ribozyme from 1 species
UGUUGUUCCGUUUGUUUGUUCGCCGUUGGUUCUUGUUUUUUUUUUCAAAAGCGUCCACCGGCGGAUUUUUUUGUGUGCAUUGAUUGGUAGGCAAUUUUGAAACACCCAAGAGCGAAUCAAAAAAAAAAAGAGUGGGGUGAAAGAGCAAAAAAAAAAUAAUAAAUUUAAACCUUGA